GUGGGGAAUAUUGCGCAAUGGGGGCAACCCUGACGCAGCAAUACCGCGUGAGUGAAGAAGGUUUUCGGAUCGUAAAACUCUUUUAUUGGGGAAGAAGAAGUGACGGUACCCAAUGAAGAAGUCCCGGCUAACUACGUGCCAGCAGCCGCGGUAAUACGUAGGGGACAAGCGUUGUCCGGAAUCACUGGGCGUAAAGGGCGCGUAGGCGGUUUUAUAAGUCAGAUGUGAAAGGUACCGGCUCAACCGGUGACGUGCAUUUGAAACUGUAAGACUUGAGUACUGGAGAGGCAAGUGGAAUUCCUAGUGUAGCGGUGAAAUGCGUAGAUAUUAGGAGGAACACCGGUGGCGAAGGCGGCUUGCUGGACAGAUACUGACGCUGAGGUGCGAAAGCGUGGGGAGCGAACAGGAUUAGAAACCCUUGUAGUCC
rnacentral:rRNA from 1 species